CAGGUACUGUUUGAGUAUAACGUCGGAUUUUCGUGAUACCUCACGAAAAUUGUGUAAAACAUCCAAUUUGUAAACACAUUUGUGACAGAUGAUUGGUGGUAAUGAGUCUCCAUCUUUUACCUGAAACUCUCAUCUCACUCACAUGCGAACAAAGAAAUAACGUUGAUAAAAAAAUGUUAAAAGUACGAUCGCUCUGAUUGAUAAAUGAUAUCAAGAUGAUUCAACCAGCAGCAGGCGAGAGGUUUACGCGGCGGAGGUUCACUUAUCACAGUCACCGUGGCGGCUCAUUGUCAGAAGCACUAACAGUGUAUAGUUAUACACUACAUGUAUAUCCACUUGUGUAUUGUAC